rnacentral:rRNA from 1 species
CCUACGGGUGGCAGCAGUGAGGAAUAUUGGUCAAUGGACGGAAGUCUGAACCAGCCAUGCCGCGUGCAGGAAGACGGCUCUAUGAGUUGUAAACUGCUUUUGUACAAGGGUAAACCUGAAUACGUGUAUUCAGCUGAAGGUACUGUACGAAUAAGGAUCGGCUAACUCCGUGCCAGCAGCCGCGGUAAUACGGAGGAUCCAAGCGUUAUCCGGAUUUAUUGGGUUUAAAGGGUGCGGAGGCGGAUUUGUAAGUUAGAGGUGAAAUGUCCGGGCUUAACUCGGGAACUGCGGCUAAUACUGGUGAUCUAGGGAGGAGGUGCGGUAGGCGGAAUGUGUGGUGUAGCGGUGAAAUGCUUAGAGAGCAGACAGAACACCGAUUGCGAAGGCAGCUUACCAA